rnacentral:rRNA from 1 species
CCUACGGGAGGCAGCAGUGGGGAAUAUUGCACAAUGGGGGAAACCCUGAUGCAGCGACGCCGCGUGAGUGAAGAAGUAAUUCGUUACGUAAAGCUCUAUCAGCAGGGAAGAAAAUGACGGUACCUGAGAAAGAAGCCCCGGCGAACUACGUGCCAGCAGCCGCGGUAAAACGUAGGGGGCAAGCGUUAUCCGGAUUUACUGGGUGUAAAGGGAGCGUAGACGGUGCGACAAGUCUGGAGUGAAAUGCCGCAGCUUAACUGCGGAACUGCUUUGGAAACUGGCGAACUAGAGUGCGGGCGGGGUAAGCGGAAUUCCUAGUGUAGCGGUGAAAUGCGUAGAUAUUAGGAGGAACACCGGUGGCGAAGGCAGCAUACCGGCGCCCGACUGACGCUGAGGCACGAAAGCGUGGGGAUCGAACAGGAUUAGAUACCCUAGUAGUC